ACUGCUUGUUUCUCAGUGGGCCGCGCCGGCUGGCUCAUCGGAUUCUCUGGGUGCAGUCCCAUCCCUGGCCCGCAGUCCGCACAAUCGAUAACAACAAAGCUACACGUCUGUAGCAAAACAGACUCACACAACACUACUCAAAAUGAACCACAUAAUCGAUAACAAAUAUUCGGAACUGCUAACUCAUGAACAAAAUAAACAGCUGUAACAACUAUGAAAAUGUAAACAACAAAGAUCGGGCCCCGGUUCCGGACCCAGCGUACCCGCCCUACCAUGAGACGAUCGCCUACACUCGUCUCCCUCAUUUUGGCCACUAAAUGGCCUAUAUUAGCCCGUGUCGGCCAUCAUGCCCACUCUCCCCAACAAUAUUACUUUAGCCGGACAUGCUUUCUUUCAAUAUCUAUCUAGAAUCUCAUGCAAGUGGAGAUUUCGUUAACUUCACAGGUGCGUAUAAUGGUUUGUGUAAUCUUAUAAUUAUUGGCAUUAAUAUUUCUUUUAUUUCUUUCUAAUUUGCACGAGGAUUCUAUUCAGAUAAAUUAGUAUUCAUGCACGGAACAUUUCUUCUCCGGCACUAAAUGGAACAGGCGACGAAAUACUACAAAGAUAUUGCUAGUCGCCUCAAAAGAAACACGCAAGGAGGCAAUUUAGAGGCAAUCGUUGCGCCGAUUUAGGAACAAUGGCCCACACAAAUACUUAAAACUGGGUAUGUCACGAUAAUCAGUCGUGCAACAGGUAGGUGAUAUAGAUCUGUAUUAAAUCGCUUAAUUCUACCUUACCCUACCUAAAGAGCUCUCUGGGGGUGGUAAGGGGCGAUAUAAAUGGGUAAAUUCCAAUUAGGCGCAGAUGCAUCACCUUUGGAGUUUCCCUCACCGUUCGCACUCUAAAGUGAAGCUCGGCGUAAGUGCCUAUGUAU